rnacentral:rRNA from 1 species
ACCUGGUUGAUCCUGCCAGUAGUCAUAUGCUUGUGUUAAAGAUUAAGCCAUGCAUGCCUAAGAUCAAACCAUAAAACGGUGAAUCUGCGGACGGCUCCAUAGAUCAGUAAUUGUCAGUUUGGCAACUGAAAACCGUACAUGGAUAACCCUGUUAAUUGUAGAGCUAAUACAUGAACAAGAAGGCCUGAUUGGGAAACCGAGAGGGUCGCACUUGUCAGUGAAGCCAGGGAGGGGUGUGAAACUUCGGCUAGGUGCCUCGAUUUCGACUGAUGACAACCAGACACACAAAACACGGGAGGAAGCAAAAAGCCAACUAACAUUGGUAAGGCCUGUGUGGAAGUGUCCGGGACAAAACACGUCAUUGGAAGGGGUCGGGAACACCGUCUGAAACCGGAGGGAAACAUCAAUCCCGCAGGAAAAUAGGGUGACACAUGACAAUUUCAUAGCAGAUCGCACGGCCUUGCGCUGGCGACAAGCCAUUCGAAUUUCUGACUUAUCAACUUGGAUGGUAGGGUCGUGGCCUACCAUGGUUAUAACGAGUGACGGGGAAUCAGGGCUCGAUUCCGGAGAGGGAGCCUGAGAAAUGGCUACCACUUCCAAGGAAGGCAGCAGGCGCGAAACUUACUCCCUGCCAACACGGCGAGGUAGUAAACGACAAAUAUCAAUGCCGUCCCUUUGGGAAGGCAAUUGAAAUGAGCAAAAGCUAAACCUCUUUGCAAGUAACAAUUGGAGGGCAAGUCUGGUGCCAGCAGCCGCGGUAAUUCCAGCUCCAAGAGUGUAUACUAAAGCUGUUGCGGUUAAAACGCUCGUAGUUGAAUUCACUCUCUCUUGGAUGAAUCUGUCUCAGUCUUGCCUCGUUGGCCUCGCAAGAGGUUGAUGAGGUGAGGCUGGGAUGGACCAGGAGGGCACAAAGCUUGAUCUUAAUCCACAGGCUCGCCACUGGCCUUAACUGGUUGGUGGAGAAGAGAAAACCCUGACCGACGAGGAAGGGGGAGUCAGUGGAACCCCAGUUUACCUUGAGCAAACUAGAGUGUUUCAAGCAGGCGACCUGUUCGCAGUGAAUACGAUUAGCAUGGGAUAAACGCUUAAAACGAGGCCAAAGGCCGUCGUCAAGUGGGUGAGGGAAGGCCAGGGUGCAACCGGCUAGGCAGUGCCUCGAACAACUUGUGGUAACCCGUCAGGUUCGUCUGGAUCUCCUGGGCUACUAUGAGUGGGUUGGGGGAGUGGGGGACAGCGUGUGGGGAAACUUGCAUGCUGCCGUCCAUUUCAACAGCCCAUGAGCAGAGUGGCAACACUUUACCACAGGGAAGCAUUGCUUGGAGAAAGGGGUGCCUUGGCCGCCAAAGAUCCUUCAUUCGCAAGGCGGUGGUACCGGUCUCAAAAGUAACCAUGCAGAAUAGGGACAGUCAGGGUUGGUUCAUACUUCUUCGUCAGGGGUGAAAUCCUAUGUUUGAAGAAAGGAUGGAUUAGUGCGAAAGCAUUCCACAGGGAGGUUUUCAUUAAUCAAGAACGAAAGUUGGGGGAUCGAAGACGAUCAGAUACCGUCGUAGUCUCAACCAUAAACGAUGCCGACCAGAGAUUGGGAAACGCUGCUUGAAACCCAAGCAGAAGGCUCUCCCAGCACCUUUGAGAGAAAUCAAUGAGUGUAUGGGCUUCGGGGGGAGUAUGGUCGCAAGGCUGAAACUUAAAGGAAUUGACGGAAGGGCACCACCAGGAGUGGAGCCUGCGGCUUAAUUUGACUCAACACGGGAAAACUCACCAGGUCCAGACAGCAGAAGGAUUGACAGAUUGAGAGCUCUUUCUUGAUUCGCUGGGUGGUGGUGCAUGGCCGUUCUUAGUUCGUGGUGUAAAUUGUCUGCGUCAAUUCCGCUAACGAACGAGACCUUAACCUGCUAACUAGUGUUGGGCAAAGCACGUCUCGGCUAGCAAUAGCUGGGAAGGCUUUGGCUCAGAAAUCUAUUCCAAAAGGCCUCUUCUCUGAAGGCAGCAAUGCUGGAGGGGGAGGGGCCCGGGGGUAGAGCCAACUUCUUAGAGGGACUGUUUGCGACUAGCGAAUGGAAGAUUGAGGCAAUAACAGGUCUGUGAUGCCCUUCGAUGUCCUGGGCCGCACGCGCGCUACACUGACAGAGAGAACGAGUGAGACAUGCCUGUCUGCCGCAAGGUGGGUGGGAUCAAAACAUGUCAAACCUGGGCCGAAAGGCACUGGGGAAACUUGGGAAACUCUGUCGUGCUGGGGACAGACCAUUGUAAUUAUUGGUCUCAAACGAGGAAUUCCUCGUAAGCGUGUGUCAUCAACACGCCCUGAAUACGUCCCUGCCCUUUGUACACACCGCCCGUCGCUCCUACCGAUUGGAUGAUCCGGUGAAGAUUACGGAUGGCCAGCAUGUAUCAGGUGGGGCAACUCAUCUGUGAUGCAGACCAGAAGUGAUCUUAACCUUACCAUCUAGAGGAAGGAGAAGUCGUAACAAGGUUUCCGUAGGUGAACCUGCRGAAGGAUCA